GAUGAACGCUGGCGGCGUGCCUAAUACAUGCAAGUCGAGCGAACAGACGAGGAGCUUGCUCCUCUGACGUUAGCGGCGGACGGGUGAGUAACACGUGGAUAACCUACCUCUAAGACUGGGAUAACUUCGGGAAACCGGAGCUAAUACCGGAUAAUAUAUUGAACCGCAUGGUUCAAUAGUGAAAGACGGUUUUGCUGUCACUUAUAGAUGGAUCCGCGCCGCAUUAGCUAGUUGGUAAGGUAACGGCUUACCAAGGCAACGAUGCGUAGCCGACCUGAGAGGGUGAUCGGCCACACUGGAACUGAGACACGGUCCAGACUCCUACGGGAGGCAGCAGUAGGGAAGCUUCCGCAAUGGGCGAAAGCCUGACGGAGCAACGCCGCGUGAGUGAUGAAGGUCUUCGGAUCGUAAAACUCUGUUAUUAGGGAAGAACAAAUGUGUAAGUAACUAUGCACGUCUUGACGGUACCUAAUCAGAAAGCCACGGCUAACUACGUG
rnacentral:rRNA from 1 species